ACUCCCCAGGCCGGCGGCGGAUCGGGACCGGGAGCAGGACCGGGACCGGGACCAGGAGCAGGAUCGGGACCCGGAGGAGCGCGGCGCUGCCCGCUCCCUGCAGCACCGGUCUAUCCGACUGUCCUUGUGACCGAUACCCCCUGCGUCACCUGAGGCAGCGGCGUGUCCCCCAUGGAGCGGGUGGCUUGCAACGGGGGACUGCCGGGAGCCCGGGAGUGCUGAGGGAGAAACGCCCGCGUCCACCCGCCAGUGCCCGAUGGAGAAGCCUGCUCUGCCCCAUAAGUGCCGGCCGGGGGUGACCUGCCGGGGGGGAGGAAGCUGCGGCAGCACUCGUCGGUCCCCAGAGCGGCAGCGCCCAGAGAGCGGCCCCGGGCAGGAGCAUCGCGUGAUGGGCGAGCGGCCGGGCCCGCAGCGGUGCCAGCCGUCCCCGCGGGGCACCCCUUGCCCCCCGGCCGUGGGAAGAAAGGCAGCCCCGAGGCAAGCAGGUGGGUGUCUUUCCUUCUCUUUAGCCAGCGAGGGUUCAAUGUCCCUCCCCAGCUGCCAGGGAGGUCCGAGCAAGGUGUGCAGCAGCCAGCGAGACCCGGGAACCUCUGCCCGUCCAGCUGAACGUGGGUGAGCAGCUUUCCGGAUGGUCUCCAGGGAUUUCUAGUGGUUGUGCAGCCGAGGAGCUCACUGCCCUCGUAAAGAAGCGCAGUGGUGGUCAACAGGCCGUCGAGCAGCGUGGUGCGCUGUGUGUCAGCCCUCCUGCUCCUGAAGCACAGAUGAUGGUGACGGUCCUGCGGUGGAUGGUCAGCACUUAUGGGGCCAUGAGGAGCGUCCCUGUCUAAGAGGAGCAGGACUGCGCGGUGUCCCCUUUCCGGGCAGCAGCGCUGAGGCCGAUGUCCCCUGGAGUUUCACGUCCCUUUGCUGGUCAGGGUGGAAGCAGCGCACGCCCUGGCCCGGGCGGCACCGGGGAGGACGCCGGCACCGCGGGGAGCGACGCUCUGCUCGAGAUGCGGAUGCUGCCUGCUGUGCCGGGCUCUGGAAGAGAGAUGUGCAGGAGGAGGCAGAAGGGCAGGGUGUGGUGUGGGCCCUGGUGAGUCAAGAAAGCUGGACUCAGGAUGGGAAGAAGAAGAAGAAGAAGUUGUUGUGUGCAGCUGGAGCUUCUCGGAGGAGGGAGCUGCGGAGGCGGCGCCCCGAGAGGGCUUUGGAGGCCUGCCGUGGAGGCUGGGCGGGCUCUCUCUCUCUCUCGCAGGCCAUGGCGUGUGCCCGUCUGUCGGCCUGGCGCCUCCCGGACUCUGCGACGUCGGGUGGAAGUCGUCUGUGUGCAGGGAGCGCUCUGGAGGAGCCAGGCCUGGAGCAGGAAGGCGCCCAGAGGAGGAUCUGGGGGCGCGCCUCGGGGUCUGGGCGGGCUCUCUUUUGCAGGGUGAGCCCAGGGCAGAUGGCCCUGGUGUCUCUGGGACUCUGUGUGUGUGUGUUUGGUGGUGGGACAGGUGCCGGAGGUGUCUGUGCUGCUCCUGGGCUGUGCAGGUAAGCGAGGCAGCAGGUGAGGAGGUGGCCACGUAGGGAAGGUUGAGGUGGAGGCAGUGGAAGGGGGUCCGGAGCGUAGUGUAGGUGUCGGGGCUGGGCAGGAGACAGGGGCCUCCCAGGUGAGACUGGCAGCGGUGUGUUAGGAGCCUGUGGUGUCUGUGUGUGUGUGUGUGUGUCUG